UCAUUAUUGAAGCAUUGAAUCGUAGCAUUGAGAACUGUUGCUGGCGCUUUGUAUGUGCACGUUCAAUCUGUUGCGUUUCUCUUCUAUUCAAUUCCACUUGUGCACGUUUGUAGACUUGGUCAAUGUUUCAUGUUAGCGCUGGCGUGGUUAGAAGGGUUUGCUUUUGAAGCUCCCUUUGUGUUACCAAGUCUAUGUUGUAUAUGUUCUCUUGUAUGUGUAUUGAAUGUGUUAGUUAUUGGACUGGCGUCCAAUAAUGGUUAAUACAACUUUCAACAACGGAUCUCUUGGCUCUCGCAUCGAUGAAGAACGCAGCGAAAUGCGAUAACUAAUGUGAAUUGCAGAAUUCAGUGAAUCAUCGAGUCUUUGAACGCACCUUGCACCCUUUGGUAUUCCAAAGGGCAUGCCUGUUUGAGUGUCAUUAAAUUCUCAAGCUCCCUUUGUUUCUGACUGAGGGUGGAUUGGAUAGUGGGGGCUUGCUGGAUUCUUAACGAGAUCAGCUCCUCUGAAAUGCAUUAGCAGAAACCGUUUGACGUUGGCUUGCUAGGCUGUGAUAAUAUCUACGGUUUUGCAAGUCAGGUUGAAAUACAAGUCUUAGAAUUGCUUAGUAUCGGUUUAGAGGGAGCUUUAAUGCUCCUUCUGGUUUCUCUCUAGGCCUAUGAGAUUUCGAACUUUGCUUUCGUUGACUUUGUAGAAGGCUUUCAGCUUCUAACUGGCAAUUUAUUGACUGUUGACCUCAAAUCAGGUAGGAUUACCCGCUGAACUUAAGCAUAUCAAUAAGCGGAGGAAAAGAAACUAACAAGGAUUCCCUUAGUAACUGCGAGUGAAGAGGGAAAAGCUCAAAUUUAAAAUCUGGCAGGUUUGCUGUCCGAGU
rnacentral:rRNA from 1 species